rnacentral:lncRNA from 1 species
AUGAGGAAACUGAAGCGAAAGAAUGUUGACUAAUUUUGUCAAGGUCACACAACUGCUGAGCUGACACCCAGAGAAAUCAGAAUACUCGAAGGUCUACUAGAAAUAACAACGGAAGGAAGAAAUGAUUGGAUGAGUGUGUGUUUGUCAGCUUUGGACAGAACUGGGGCAGAGGUGCCUCUGAAGGUGAGAAGAAGACCAAGGGGAGCAGUCUGGCAGGAGACGUCCACUGGGAGAAGGUAUCACUGUGUUUAACACAAGCAUCCAGUUCCUUGGCAGCCCGAGUCUCUGUGCACUGGAACAGAUUUAAAACAAAUAUGAGAAAAAUCCUGACCCCAAGUCUGAUACUCUUUCAGCUCAUCCCAGAGCUCAGGUAUAAAAUAAGUUCAACACUGGCAACCAUCUGAUAACCACAGAGAAAUGAGACUGAGGAUAAAACUAAUCUAAAGAGGAUACCAACGAAGCUGUAACCCUCCAGUUACAUAAACCAGUGUCCUGAGGGAGAAGCUGGUGCCCUUUAUCACACAGCUAACAACGCUCCUGGCCCAUGGAUCAGAGAAGUUGAAGGAAAAUACAGAGGAAGUUCUAACAGUGGCAGACCUAAUUACUGCACCAUGCCAAGCAGGCGCUGGGAACAGCCUUUGGCUGACAGCCAGCAAGGAAAUGGGGACUUCAGUGCUACAACUUCAAGGAACUAAAUUUUGCCAACAAAUGUGAAUAAGCUUCCAAGUGGAUUCUUCCCCAGAGCCUCCAAAUAAGAGCCCAGCCUGGCUUUCAUCUUGAUUUCAUCUCUUUGAGACUCCAAGCAGAGAAGCUGGUCAGGCCCCCACCACUUCCUCCACCCAUCAGACCUCUGACCUACAGAACUAUCAGGUAAAAUAUUUUCCCAGGGGUUCAAGCUGAGUUUUGACCCAAGUUAUUGUCCUAGAAUCUGUGGGGGAAGUACAAGUAAACCUUAAAGAAGACAAAUAACACCUUAUGAGGUGUUUGCCUUAGCACAAAGAGGAGAAGUAGGUGAUGAAGAAUGCCUAGAGUACAUAGAGUUUCUACACAGUACUCAUGGAUUAUUUCAAUUUAUGGAAGUAUGACAUCAAGGUUGAUUGACAUGAAAUGAGCUGUUGCCUGACUCUAAAGCUGAAUGGUCAGUGGAAGAAGAGAGAGGCCACUUCACAUUCAGGUCUGAUGGUUGCAUGAGAACAGGAAACACAG